rnacentral:rRNA from 1 species
GGGAUUGCCUCAGUAACGGCGAGUGAAGCGGCAACAGCUCAAAUUUGAAAUCUGGCUCUCGGGUCCGAAUUGUAAUUUGUAGAAGAUGCUUUGGGUGUAGCUCCGGUCUAAGUUCCUUGGAACAGGACGUCAUAGAGGGUGAGAAUCCCGUAUGUGAUUGGAGCCUUCGCUCGUGUAAAGCUCUUUCGACGAGUCGAGUUGUUUGGGAAUGCAGCUCAAAAUGGGUGGUAAAUUUCAUCUAAAGCUAAAUAUUGGCCAGAGACCGAUAGCGCACAAGUAGAGUGAUCGAAAGAUGAAAAGCACUUUGGAAAGAGAGUUAAACAGUACGUGAAAUUGUUGAAAGGGAAGCGCUUGCAACCAGACUUGCACGCUGUUGAUCAUCCGAGGUUUUCCCCGGUGCACUCGGCAGUGUUCAGGCCAGCAUCGGUUUCGGUGGGUGGAUAAAGGCCUUGGGAAUGUGGCUCCUCUCGGGGAGUGUUAUAGCCCUCGGUGCAAUGCACCCUACUGGGACCGAGGACCGCGCUUCGGCUAGGAUGCUGGCGUAAUGGUUGUAAGCGACCCG